rnacentral:rRNA from 1 species
UGACGGUACCUAAAAAGCAAAGCCACCGGCUAAACUACGUGCCAGCAGCCGCGGUAAUACGUAGGUGGCGAGCGUUGUCCGGAAUUACUGGGUGUAAAGGGCGUGUAGGCGGGACUGUAAGUCAGAUGUGAAAUUCCGAGGCUCAACCUCGGCGCUGCAUCUGAAACUAUAUUUCUUGAGUGAUGGAGAGGAAAGUGGAAUUCCUAGUGUAGCGGUGAAAUGCGUAGA